GAGUCCGAUAAGCUGUACACUGGUAAUGGAAGUGAACAGGACGUCAGACUGCGCGGAACCGUCAGAAAUCAAUUUUGCGUCUUCAGUGGAUCCAAAGGAAAAUGGAAAAUUCAGGAAUAUUACAACACUAGAAGUAAUUGAUAAAUGUUUAACUUCUUAACGCGAUCUCGAAAAUCUGGAAUCAAUUUCAACAUCUAUACAUUGUGUGAAAUUAAAUAAUUUUAAAUUCUUAUCUAAUAGAGAAUUUUCCAAACUUUCAUAA